rnacentral:rRNA from 1 species
GUUAGCGGCGCGCCUAACACAUGCAAGUCGCACGAGAAAGGGCUUCGGCCCCGGUAAAGUGGCGCACGGGUGAGUAACACGUGGGCAACCUGCCCAACCCUGGGGGAUAACCUGCCGAAAGGCGGGCUAAUACCGCGUACGAGGGCUCGACUUCGGUCGGGUUCUGAAAGCAGGCCUCUGAAUUCAAGCUUGUGGGGUUGGAUGGGCCCGCGGUCCAUCAGCUAGUUGGUGAGGUAAUGGCUCACCAAGGCUACGACGGAUAGCUGGUCUGAGAGGAUGAUCAGCCACACUGGAACUGAGACACGGUCCAGACUCCUACGGGAGGCAGCAGUGGGGAAUCUUGCGCAAUGGACGAAAGUCUGACGCAGCGACGCCGCGUGGGUGACGAAGGCCUCGGUUGUAAGCCUCGUGGGCGAGACGAAC